GGUUUGAUUAGCUCAGAUUGAACGCUGGCGGGAUGCUUUACACAUGCAAGUCGAACGGCAGCACGGACUUCAGUCUGGUGGCGAGUGGCGAACGGGUGAGUAAUGUAUCGGAACGCGUGCCUGUGUAAGGGGAUAACUACGCCGAAAGCGUAGCUAAUACCGCAUACGCCCUUCGGGAAGAGCGGGGACCUUCGGGCCUCGCACUAUUAGAGCGGCCGAUAUCGGAUUAGC
rnacentral:misc_RNA from 1 species